rnacentral:rRNA from 1 species
CCUACGGGGGGCAGCAGUGGGGGAUAUUGCACAAUGGGGGAAACCCUGAUGCAGCGACGCCGCGUGAGCGAUGAAGUAUUUCGGUAUGUAAAGCUCUAUCAGCAGGGAAGAAAAUGACGGUACCUGACUAAGAAGCCCCGGCUAACUACGUGCCAGCAGCCGCGGUAAUACGUAGGGGGCAAGCGUUAUCCGGAUUUACUGGGUGUAAAGGGAGCGUAGACGGCAGGGCAAGUCUGGAGUGAAAGGCAGGGGCCCAACCCCUGGACUGCUCUGGAAACUGUCUGGCCGGAGUGCAGGAGAGGUAA